AUUCCUGGUGUAGCGGUGGAAUGCGCAGAUAUCAGGAGGAACACCGAUGGCGAAGGCAGGUCUCUGGGCUGUAACUGACGCUGAGGAGCGAAAGCAUGGGGAGCGAACAGGAUUAGAUACCCUGGUAGUCCAUGCCGUAAACGUUGGGCACUAGGUGUGGGGACCAUUCCACGGUUUCCGCGCCGCAGCUAACGCAUUAAGUGCCCCGCCUGGGGAGUACGGCCGCAAGGCUAAAACUCAAAGGAAUUGACGGGGGCCCGCACAAGCGGCGGAGCAUGCGGAUUAAUUCGAUGCAACGCGAAGAACCUUACCAAGGCUUGACAUGUUUUCGAUCGCCGUGGAGACACGGUUUCCCCUUUGGGGCGGAUUCACAGGUGGUGCAUGGUUGUCGUCAGCUCGUGUCGUGAGAUGUUGGGUUAAGUCCCGCAACGAGCGCAACCCUCGUUCCAUGUUGCCAGCACGUUGUGGUGGGGACUCAUGGGAGACUGCCGGGGUCAACUCGGAGGAAGGUGAGGACGACGUCAAAUCAUCAUGCCCCUUAUGUCUUGGGCUUCACGCAUGCUACAAUGGCCGGUACAAUGGGUUGCGAUACUGUGAGGUGGAGCUAAUCCCAAAAAGCCGGUCUCAGUUCGGAUUGGGGUCUGCAACUCGACCCCAUGAAGUCGGAGUCGCUAGUAAUCGCAGAUCAGCAACGCUGCGGUGAAUACGUUCCCGGGCCUUGUACACACCGCCCGUCAAGUCACGAAAGUCGGUAACACCCGAAGCCGGUGGCCUAACCCUUGUGGGGGGAGCCGUCGAAGGUGGGACCAGCGAUUGGGACUAAGUCGUAACAAGGUAGCCGUACCGGAAGGUGCGGUUGGAU
rnacentral:rRNA from 1 species